ensembl:lncRNA
GGGAGGAGGGAGGAGUCUGAGUCAUAAACCCGAGCUUGAGCAAGGUUUGUGAACACGUUGAAGCUGAGAUGGCUUAUCUUGGUCAUCGCCAGCCUUCUGCAAAGAUCUCAAAGUGUGGCAGGGGACCUUGGUUCUGCGAAAGGACACUUUGAAUCCUAAAGGAAAUCAGUCCUGAAUAUUCAUUGGAAGGACUGACGCUGAAGCUUGAAACGCCAGUACUUUGGCCACCUGAUCCGAAGAACUGACUCGUUUGAAAAGACCCUGAUGCUGGGAAAAAUUGAAGGCAGGAGGAGAAGGGGACCACAGAGGAUGAGAUGGUUGGAUGGCAUCACUGACUCUUUGGACACGAGUUUGAGUAAAUUGUGGGAGCUGCUGAUGGACAGGGAGCCCUGGCGUGGUGCAGCCCAUGGGGUCGCAAAGAGUUGGACAUGAUUGAGUGACUGAACUGAACUGAUGAAUUUUCUUCAUGUGGGUUAUGCAUAUUCUUUGACUGUUGCCCAGUUGAACUUGCUCACCGUAGAUACCUUGUUCGGUCAUCUUUCUCAGAUGGAGUGAUGAUUAUCUUCCAGUAAGUUCAUGUCAGACUCUGAAGUAUGUGGCUUGCCGCUCCAUUUGGUCUUGGGAGGGAGGCAAGGCGCCCUGUGAGUAAGCACAGGCUUUGGGAAUCAGACUCAGCUCUGUGACUUUGUGAGGCCGUGAGAAUCAGUGACUUCUGGAGGUGAUGAGGACAGUAGAAACAAAUGCAGUGCACGUGAGGCUGCCCAGGUCAAUGAUGAAUGUCAAGGUUAUAGGCCAAGUGUAGCAUUGAGGUCGGGAAGAGCCAGGCUCCCAGCCUCUGUGAGACCAAGUUAGAAUUUCAGACCUGCCUCCUCCUGUUGAACAGCUUUGGGCAAUUCAUGUAACCCCUGUGUGCCUCAGUCUCUCUAUUGGUUAAAUGGGUCUAGCACUUUGUUGCACUGUCAUGAGGACCAGAUACAAACAUUGAUGAGCAGACCCCAGUCCUAUGAUUUUGACGGAGGUCUUCAUAAAUUUUCUCAGUGCUCUCAGCCUCCUAUAGCGUCACAAGUAAAAUACUAUGUGGGUUGGCCAAAGGUUCGUCCAUCUUUUCUGUAAGGUGUUGCAGAAAAACCUGAAGGAACUGUUGGCCAACUCACAUUAUAACCUGUCUUACAGAUGGGGGACUGAGGCUUUACAAAAAUUAGAAAAUAGGCCUGUAACUAGAAAAGGAAUUCCUGGCCAGUCUAGGUCUGCUCUGUGGGAAAAAUGCAUAAAACAUGCUCUGUGAAAAUUAAAAAGUAUAUUAAUAAAGCAGUAGAAAAAAAGAAUAAUAUAAAGUUUCAAUAAUAAAAAACAGCCGAUAUUCAAUUAAAUGGAUAUGUGAGACAGUAAACACUAGGAAUAUAAGACAUUUUCCAUGGCUAUAUUUUCUUUCAUCCUAGAACUGAACCAAACCCAAUAAAAGACUGUUUAUCACUCUCAGAAAAAAGUGUGCCAUUUAGUAUUUUCAUUUGAUAAUUUGAAUUUGAGUUGUUUUCUCC